ACGGCUCAGUAACACGUGGAUAACCUGCCCUAGGGGAGGGGAUAACCCCGGGAAACUGGGGAUAAUACCCUAUAGGUUACAGAUGCUGGAAUGCCCUGUAACCAAAAGCUCCGGCGCCCUAGGAUGGAUCUGCGGCCGAUUAGGUUGUUGUUGGGGUAACGGCCCAACAAGCCCGUAAUCGGUACGGGUUGUGGGAGCAAGAGCCCGGAGUUGGAUUCUGAGACACGAAUCCAGGCCCUACGGGGCGCAGCAGGCGCGAAACCUUUACAAUGCGGGCAACCGUGAUAAGGGAACCUCGAGUGCCUGUAAACGCAGGCUGUUCAGGUGUUUAAAACGCACCUGGAGAAAGGGCCGGGCAAGACCGGUGCCAGCCGCCGCGGUAAUACCGGCGGCUCGAGUGGUGGCCGCUUUUAUUGGGCUUAAAGCGUUCGUAGCUGGGUUGUUAAGUCUCUUGGGAAAUCUGGCGGCUUAACCGUCAGGCGUCUAAGGGAUACUGGCAAUCUUGGAACCGGGAGAGGUGAGGGGUACUUCGGGGGUAGGGGUGAAAUCCUGUAAUCCUCGAGGGACCACCUGUGGCGAAGGCGCCUCACCAGAACGGCUUCGACAGUGAGGGACGAAAGCUGGGGGAGCAAACCGGAUUAGAUACCCGGGUAGUCCCAGCCGUAAACGAUGCGCGUUAGGUGUAUCGGUGACCACGAGUUACCGAGGUGCCGAAGGGAAACCGUGAAACGCGCCGCCUGGGAAGUACGGUCGCAAGGCUGAAACUUAAAGGAAUUGGCGGGGGAGCAC
rnacentral:rRNA from 1 species